AAACUUUCAACAACGGAUCUCUUGGUUCUGGCAUCGAUGAAGAACGCAGCGAAAUGCGAUAAGUAGUGUGAAUUGCAGAAUUCAGUGAAUCAUCGAAUCUUUGAACGCACAUUGCGCCCUGUGGUAUUCCGCAGGGCAUGCCUGUUCGAGCGUCAU
rnacentral:rRNA from 1 species